rnacentral:rRNA from 1 species
AACGAACGCUGGCGGCAGGCCUAACACAUGCAAGUCGAACGCCGUAGCAAUACGGAGUGGCAGACGGGUGAGUAACGCGUGGGAACCUUCCCUACGGUUCGGAAUAGCCCAGGGAAACCUGGGGUAAUACCGGAUAAGCCCUUCGGGGGCAAGAUUUAUCGCAAUUGGAUGGGCCCGCGUCGGAUUAGCUAGUUGGUGGGGUAACGGCCUACCAAGGCGACGAUCCGUCGCUGGGCUGAGAAGAUGAUCAGCCACACUGGGGCUGAGACACGGCCCGAACUCCUACGGGAGGCAGAAGUGGGGAAUAUUGGACAAUGGGCGAAAGCCUGAUCCAGCCAUGCCGCGUGAGUGACGAAGGCCUUAGGGUUGUAAAGCUCUUUUGGCGGGGAGGAUAAUGACGGUACCCGCAGAAUAAGCUCCGGCUAACUUCGUGCCAGCAGCCGCCGUAA